rnacentral:rRNA from 1 species
GACACAGGAAGGCAUCUUCUCUGUGUGGAAAGCUCCGGCGGUGCAGGAUGAGCCCGCGGCCUAUCAGCUUGUUGGUGGGGUGAUGGCCUACCAAGGCGACGACGGGUAGCCGGCCUGAGAGGGCGACCGGCCACACUGGGACUGAGACACGGCCCAGACUCCUACGGGAGGCAGCAGUGGGGAAUAUUGCACAAUGGGCGAAAGCCUGAUGCAGCGACGCCGCGUGAGGGAUGACGGCCUUCGGGUUGUAAACCUCUUUCAGCAGGGAAGAAGCGCAAGUGACGGUACCUGCAGAAGAAGCACCGGCUAACUACGUGCCAGCAGCCGCGGUAAUACGUAGGGUGCGAGCGUUGUCCGGAAUUAUUGGGCGUAAAGAGCUCGUAGGCGGCUUGUCACGUCGGAUGUGAAAGCCCGGGGCUUAACCCCGGGUCUGCAUUCGAUACGGGCAGGCUAGAGUUCGGUAGGGGAGAUCGGAAUUCCUGG